GGAUUAUGGCUCAGUGGUACAGCACUUGCCUAAUAAGUAUGAGGCACUGGGUUUGAUCCUCAGCACCA
rnacentral:tRNA from 1 species